AUGUACACGAGUGACGGGAGGCGUUUCGAAGUACUGUUGGAGUACCUCAGCAUGACGGUGUUCAGCGAGCUCCUCAGGAUAUCGCAGGAGGAGUUUGGUUUUAGAAGCGAUGGCAAGAUCACAUUGCCUUGUGAUGCGGCAGUGAUGGAGUAUGUCAUGUGCUUGCUCAGGAGAAAUGCAUCUGCCGAGGUCAAGAGUGCAUUGCUGAGCUCCAUGGUGACGCCUUGCCACUACACUGGCUGUGCGAUUCCUACUGUCGGAGCCAGCCAGCAGAUUUGCUGUCUGUAG
rnacentral:rRNA from 1 species